rnacentral:rRNA from 1 species
GUGGGGAAUCUUGCGCAAUGGGCGAAAGCCUGACGCAGCCAUGCCGCGUGAAUGAUGAAGGUCUUAGGACUGUAAAAUUCUUUCACCGGGGACGAUAAUGACGGUACCCGGAGAAGAAGCUCCGGCUAACUUCGUGCCAGCAGCCGCGGUAAUACGAAGGGGGCUAGCGUUGCUCGGAAUUACUGGGCGUAAAGGGCGCGUAGGCGGACAGCUUAGUCAGAGGUGAAAGCCCAGGGCUCAACCUUGGAAUUGCCUUUGAUACUGGCUGUCUUGAGUUUGGGAGAGGUGAGUGGAACUCCGAGUGUAGAGGUGAAAUUCGUAGAUAUUCGGAAGAACACCAGUGGCGAAGGCGACUCACUGGCCCAAUACUGACGCUGAGGCGCGAAAGCGUGGGGAGCAAACAGGAUUAGAAACCCUGGUAGUCC